AUUGAACGCUGGCGGCAGGCCUACCAAUGCCAAUCCGGCCAGCGGCGGGCGGGGGAGUAAUGUAUGGGGAUCUGCCUGAUGGAGGGGGAUAACUACUGGAAACGGUAGCUAAUACCGCAUACCCACAGAUGAACCCCUAUGGGAUUAGCUUGUAGGUGAGGUAACGGCUCACCUAGGCGACGAUCCCUAGCUGGUCUGAGAGGAUGAUCAGCCACACUGGGACUGAGACACGGCCCAGACUCCUACGGGAGGCAGCAGUGGGGAAUAUUGCACAAUGGGCGCAAGCCUGAUGCAGCCAUGCCGCGUGUAUGAAGAAGGCCUUCGGGUUGUAAAGUACUUUCAGUCGGGAGGCGUUACCGACAGAAGAAGCACCGGCUAACUCCGUGCCAGCAGCCGCGGUAAUUC
rnacentral:rRNA from 1 species